GACCAGACUCCUACGGGAGGCAGCAGUGGGGGAUAUUGCACAAUGGGGGGAACCCUGAUGCAGCGACGCCGCGUGGGUGAAGGAGCGUUUCGGCGCGUAAAGCCCUAUCGGCAGGGAAGAAGGAGGACGGUACCUGACUAAGAAGCCCCGGCUAACUACGUGCCAGCAGCCGCGGUAAUACGUAGGGGGCAAGCGUUAUCCGGAUUUACUGGGUGUAAAGGGGGCGCAGACGGCAGCGCAAGCCAGGAGUGAAAGCCCGGGGCCCAACCCCGGGACUGCUCUUGGAACUGCGCGGCUGGAGUGCAGGAGGGGCAGGCGGAAUUCCUGGUGUAGCGGUGAAAUGCGUAGAUAUCAUGAAGAACGCCGAUCGCGAAGGCAAGUGUCCGGGGGGCAACUGACGCUGAGGCUCGAAAGUGCGGGGAUCAAACAGGAUUAGAUACCCCGGUAACC
rnacentral:rRNA from 1 species